rnacentral:rRNA from 1 species
UACGUAGGGCGCAAGCGUUAUCCGGAAUUAUUGGGCGUAAAGAGCUCGUAGGCGGUUUGUCGCGUCUGCCGUGAAAGUCCGGGGCUCAACUCCGGAUCUGCGGUGGGUACGGGCAGACUAGAGUGAUGUAGGGGAGACUGGAAUUCCUGGUGUAGCGGUGAAAAUGCGCAGAUAUCAGGAGGAACACCGAUGGCGAAGGCAGGUCUCUGGGCCAUAUUGACGCUGAGGAGCGAAAGCGUGGGGAGCGAACAGG